GGAAUAUUGGACAAUGGCCGCAAGGCUGAUCCAGCCAUCCAGCGUGCAGGAAGACGGCCUUCUGGGUUGUAAACUGCUUUUGUCAGGGGAUAAAAUUUCCUUGCGAGGAAAAUUGAAGGUACCUGGCGAAUAAGCCACGGCUAACUACGUGCCAGCAGCCGCGGUAAUACGUAGGUGGCAAGCGUUGUCCGGAUUUAUUGGGUUUAAAGGGUGCGUAGGCGGCCUAUUAAGUCAGUGCUGAAAGAUUCCGGCUUAACCGGGAGGGUGGCAUUGAUACUGAUGGGCUAGAGUACAGAUGAGGUAGGCGGAAUUGACGGUGUAGCGGUGAAAUGCUUAGAUAUCGUCAAGAACACCUAUAGCGAAGGCAGCUUACUAGGCUGUAACUGACGCUGAGGCACGAAAGUGUGGGGAUCAAAC
rnacentral:rRNA from 1 species